ACGAACGCUGGCGGCGUGCUUAACCCAUGCAAGUCGAACGGAAAGGCCCUGCUUUUGUGGGGUGCUCGAGUGGCGAACGGGUGAGUAACACGUGAGUAACCUGCCCUUGACUUUGGGAUAACUUCAGGAAACUGGGGCUAAUACCGGAUAGGAGCUCCUGCUGCAUGGUGGGGGUUGGAAAGUUUCGGCGGUUGGGGAUGGACUCGCGGCUUAUCAGCUUGUUGGUGGGGUAGUGGCUUACCAAGGCUUUGACGGGUAGCCGGCCUGAGAGGGUGACCGGCCACAUUGGGACUGAGAUACGGCCCAGACUCCUACGGGAGGCAGCAGUGGGGAAUAUUGCACAAUGGGCGGAAGCCUGAUGCAGCAACGCCGCGUGCGGGAUGACGGCCUUCGGGUUGUAAACCGCUUUCGCCUGUGACGAAGCGUGAGUGACGGUAAUGGGUAAAGAAGCACCGGCUAACUACAUG
rnacentral:rRNA from 1 species